CCUCACACGUUGCUGGUGGGAAGGUAAAGAGUACAACUACCUUAGAAGGCAACUUUUAUUUAUUUUUUUUUUUUUGCGGAACCAGGGAUUGAUCUCAGGACCUUGCACGUACCAGGCAGGGGCUGGUGCCACUGAGGUAAACCUCUGGCCCAAGGAAGACAACUUUCUCUAAGAGUUAAGCAGGCAUCAUCACAUGCCCAUUAGUCCCACUCCUUGGCAUCUGGAGAACAUGACCACACAGAAAGCUGCACACCCGUGCUUCCGCAUAAUCGCCAACAGCUAGAAACAACUCUAAUGUCCAUCAACAGGUGGAUGUUGACCGUCAUAUAACAUGAGACUGGACCAGCAAUAAAAACAGACUACUCCCACACACAACUACAUGGAUGAAUCUCGAAGUCCUGCCGAGGGACUGGAGGAUGAGUGAAGCCAAUCUAAACCUUAAAAAGACAGCUAAGUUGUGGGGAAGUCGGCAUGGAUGGGAGUGACUAGAAAGGAUUCUCUCAGAGAGCUGUUGAAAUAGUUGCCAGCAGGAGAAAAUGAGGAGGGGCUACAGUAAGAAAUGGAGAGCUAAGAAGAGUCAUAAACGCGGAUUAACCUGGUGCUUGGAGUGGGGUUGUCCAACUGGAAGAGAAGAUGGGAAGGACAGGGAAGUCUUCAUAGACUGAGGUGUUGCCUGGCCAGAGUCCAUUCUCUCUUCUUCCAGAAAUAGACCCCCAAUUCCCUUUAGGGAACCAUCUCUCACCCACCCUCUGUCCUCAUAGUUCAUGCUGGGUUCCACCCCCAUCCUAGGCCGAUCAACAACCUGGUCUCCCUCAGGACUGUUUAUAUAGCAUGCACAUUUAUGACUGUUGCGGGAGUGGUUAUAUGAUCAGGCCUGGCCUAUCGCUGGAUACAGAAAUUGGUUCCAGAGUGGACAUUUGAUCCAAUCAGAGUGAAAUAGGAAGUGGGCAGAAGUUAUCAGAAGUCCGGAAGACAGGCUUUCUUUCUGCUGGCCUUGAACCGGAAGUAAUAAGCCUGGAGCUGCCAGGAGCCGGUGUGUAGGGAGGGCAGUGCCAGAGCGAAGCAAACCAGAGACAGGCCAGCCUGCAAACUGAAGAGAGGCCAGGUCCUGGGGACAUGGAGGAGCCACGAGGCUUUGGUCCUGGGGAUUGAAGCCAAGACCUUCACACUGCUGUACACUCUCAGCCCUUUUUUGUUUUUAUUUUGAGGCAAGGUCUUCCAAAGUCACCAAGUUACAUGGGCUGGGCUAGAGCUUACAAUCCUCCUGCCUCAGCCUUCCAGAGUUACGGGGUUACAGGUCUGCGUCACCAAGGUCAUCGGCUCUUUGUGCCUUUUGAGAGUUUGCAGCAAAAGGCCUGGGGUGGCCCAGAGUCAGCAAAGCCAUGGAGGGAAUAGGAGUUGGCCACAUGCAAAAGAAAGCGAGGCCACGCUGGACACGUUGCCCUGGCCUGCAUGUUUCCUGCAGCCUUGAGGCAAAGACAAACUGCAAAACGGAGUGGUUGCAGGUCACCUUUGAGCUCCAAGCUCAUCCCAAAGCUUCCCCUUUGGACAACUCUUCCCUGGAAGCAGAGCAACACGGCUCUUACGGUGUCCAAGCAGAGCAGCUGUCUCAUAGAUGUGCGAUGCAAGUCAGGUGGGGGAUUUGAAAUGUUGAAGUCGGAUUUUAAAAAUGGGGAAACGAAAUGGAAAAUUAAUUAAUUAAUUGCUAUACAUAUAUAAUUUGCAGUGUUGGGAAGGGAACUCUCGGCCUUUGCACUGAGCUACAUUCCCAGCCCUUUGUAUUUUUUAUUUGAGACAGGGUCUCACUCAGUUGCUUCGUUGCUCAGGCUGGGCUGGAACUUGUGACUGUCCUGCCUCAGCCUCCCCGAGUGCUGGGAUUAUAUGUGUAUGCCACCGUGCCCAGCUGAAAUUCCUUUUAAUAGUACAUCGAAUUCAGUAUCAGCAUCAUCCAAUGUGUAAUCGCUGAGUGAUCACUGCUGAGACAACUCUCUGUCCUUUCUACUCAGCCUUCAAAGCUGGUCGGGCUUGGCCAGUGUUAGAGCCCCGGAGCUGGCGGCUGCCAUCCUGGAGCCAGUGUCACUGUCCCCCAGAAACCCUAAACACACUUUUGGACACAUCUGGGUCCGGGCCUUGCGGGACACGGCGCCUGCAGGGGACUUGACAUGAAGACCCUGUUUCCAGAGCCUCCCCCUGCUCUAGGGCUGAGGAGCCCACCUUUGUCCUCAUGGGCCAGCUCAGCCCCUGUUCCCUGCCCUGGCUGAGAAAAGCCAGCUGUGGCCAACACUGUGGCCCACGUGACGUGACUUCCCCACGUGGCCCGGGUCUCACAGCCUGUCCUCGAGUCUCGGAGGGCUGGGUGGAGCUGGUGUGAGAGAGCACAGACAACCUUCCCAGGGCUGGACGGAGCCAAACAGCAACUGCAGUGUUUGGUCAGACGCUGAGGGAGGUGCCCUCCGCCCGCGCCCUCUCCCGGGCCCCCAGCUUCUCCCUAAAGGCUGCUGUGCAGUCACACCUUCUGCUCAAGGGCCAGGGGCAGAUCGAUAUCAGGGUGGAGCUCAGGUGGGCGGGUCAGGAUGAGACUGGGUGGGGUGUCUGUGGGAACAGGGAACGAGUUCUGGAGAACAAGGGGUGGAGACAGAGAAGAGACUGGAGGACACUGGGCCUGUGGGCUCAAUGUGGCCAGGAGGCAGUAGCUUGGGGAGAGGAAGUGGGGCUGCUCAUGGGCAGUCCCGUCAGCAGUGACACAUUGGCCCUGUCCCUUCCUCUCUCAAGGACUCCUGUGUGCCUUAGGGAGAAUUAGUUAAGUCUCCAUGGCCAUGACAUUUAGGGGCUUCUCUUGGUGCUUCCUCAGGGCCCUGGAGACCUGGGGCAGGGAGGGUCGCAGGAGGCCAGAGGGCCAUGUGUUUGUCACUUGUCUGGGCUCCAGCAGCCUGGCUCUGUUUGCAAAACACCAAGAUGAGAUUAGGCAAUUCUGCAAACAGAACCAAGGUCCUGGCCAGCUGCCCAGGGUGUUUAAAGUCCCGGGCACCAGGCAGGCAAUGUGCACGUGGCCGCGCAGCUCAGAGCAGGCUGGGGAGGUGCAGGCGCAGGAGGCUGGAGCCUGACUGAGCAGAGGGUGCCCUUGGCCGGUCGGUCCCAGCCACCUUGGCACAGGCAUCAGUGGAUAUGAACUCGAGACAGCUGACAGCGGGUAACAUCAAUUAUGUGCAGAACAGCAGAGGUAUUAGGAGGAAUGGGGACAGCCUAUCCACUCUUUACCAGCUCACAUGGUGACUGAGCCUAAGCUAAUCUGGUGAUCACACCGAGAGCAUUCUCACAAAUGACGGUAGGACGUUGGCAGCUCUUAGUGCUUUGACUCAAUUGAUCAUCGUAUUUUAAAAUGUCAACUGAAGGCAAACAGGAAUGGGACCCACUGUCUACAGAGUCUCCCCCAGCAGUGUUAGUGCCAUCGUAAGUAAGCACAAAAUAAGUACUUAGCGAAGGGGACUGGCAGGCUUGGCCCCAGCUCACCUCUUGGCUCCUCUGCCUACUGAGUGAUCAAAAGGUCAGGCUGAAAGCCCUUUGGAUUUUCUACGUGGAGCUCGGGAAACUUGUAGCUAGGAGAUAAAAGGGAGUGGAAGUAGAUUACAUUGAAUGUCGUUUGUUAAAUGCUGUCUCCUGGCUUCUGUGUUUGUUUUUAUUUAUAGUUUAUCUUUUUCCUCCUGCCCACUCCUGUUACCAAGGUCCCCUCCCUGGCUUCUUGUGCAUUUUUCCAGAGAUACACAACCAAGCACGUGCGUGUGUGCACACACACACACACACACAGAUGGGUACACAAAGGCGCAGACAAACAUACACACACAUACACAGGACAGGCAGAUAGACACGUAGAAUCACACAUUCACAUAGACCCACACACAGGCACUUUAUAUCUAGGUAGGCAAAUACAUGUACAUCUGUAUAUUCUCCCCUUUCUUUUACUUGAAUUUUAGCUUACUGCUUCCUUGCUCUUUUCACUUAACAAUAUUCUUUGGAAAUCAUUCCAUAUCAACACAUAAAUUGUUUCCUAACUUUCCUGGCUUGCGCACGGUUUCCAUUGCACGGAUAAACCUUAUUUAUUUUACCAUUGCCUACCAGCAGUCACUUAGGUCAACUCCAGGCCUCUUGCUGUCACAAACAAAGCUGCGAUGAGUCACGUUACCCAGGCCUGAUUUGGCAACCUAUCCAUUAAAGUCCUAGAAAAAGUAUUGCUCAAUCCUCCCUGCAUUUGUAAUGUUGGUAAAUAUUGUCCAGUUACCUUGUGUGGCAGUCUCGCCAGUGUUGCUCGCCACCGGAAACGUUGGCCCAAGCGUGUCCUCACACCCUUCCUGAGAACAUGUUUCAACAAUGUUUUAUUCUUUGCUAAUUUGGGGAAAAUGAGUAUCUACGCGGGUGUGCGCUUCUGUUAUGGGAAAUGAUGGUUAAGACUCCUGUGGUUUCAGUGUGUUUGUCUCCCAGGGGUUCGUGCUUUGAGGGCUUGGACUUCAGGGUGACAGUGGGGAACUGGGAUGCUUUAGAAGCACAGACCUGUCACCCCAGCCCUCUGAGAGGCUGAGCCCUGAGGAUCAUGAGUUCCAAUCUACCCAGGACAACUGAGCGAGACCCUGUCUCAGAAUAGAAAUGGUUUUUAAAGAGGCCUCAGUGCAAAGGCUCUGGGUUCAACCCUCAGUACUACACACACACACACAUACACACACACAAAGGUGCUAGGGCCUAAUGUGAAGUCCUUAGAUCCCUCGACACAUGUCCUCAGAAGGGGUUGGCAUAGUCCUCAAGGAAACCCGGAUUUAGUUCUUCAGAGUGAGUUGCUAUGGAAGCCAGAGCCUGACCCUGAGCUGUCCCACCCAGCUUCCUGUCUGGUGAGAUGAUCUCUCUCUUCCCCUCAUGCCCCUUUCACGAAGCCCUCUGCCCUGACGCCUCACCCGUGUGGCACCUGAUCUCGGACUCUCAGCCUCCAGAAUGUGUUCCAUAAACCUCUUUACUUCAUAAGUCCCCUGCUUCAGGUAUGUUGUUACAGUAAUGAAAAAUGGACUAAAACAAGAACCAUUUCCUUUUCUGUAAACCAAUUUGCUUUAACAUUUUAAAAACUUCCUGUUAUUUUGAAAGGCUGAAACACAUCCCUGAAUGUUAAAAUCUCUAUAUGGGAAUGUUCAUACAGCAACACUUUUGGCCCAAUCACUUAUGGUGGGGCGGCUUCCCAUGAGCCACUUCAGUUACUUGGGAAAAAGCCAGAGAGAAACAGGAGCACACAGAGUCCCAGAGAUUGUGAGAAUGCUGCCCAAAUUGUCCCCGCCCAUUCUCAGGAGGCCUGGCCCCAAAGCAGGGGCCCUGGCUCAGGCCGACACCACCCUGGGAAAUGAUCCCCUGCUCCAACCUCAUCUGCUGCCUCCCCAUCCGGCUGGUGUUCCCUUGCCCACUCAAGGACACUGUCCUGCGGCUGUCCACUCACUGUCCCUCACGGCAAGCUCCUUUUGCUCUCUGGGCAUGCCCAGCAGCACACAAACUGCCUUGCUGUUCUCACCUUCCUCAGCCUUGACGCUCACCGCACCCAGACACUGCUCAGGGCUCUGUCCUCUUUAAAGUAAAAUUUCCCAAAGGACAGAGGCUCCUGUCCACCUCCUCUUCUUAUAUUCUGCCUCUUUUUUUUCUUGGUGGUACUUGGGAUUAAACCCAGGUCCUUCACACUGAGCAACAUCCCCAGCCCUUUUUUAUUCUUUAUUUUGAGACGGGGUCACACUAAGUCACUAAGUUGUCUGGGCUGGGCUUGAAUUUGUAAUCCGCCUGCCUCAGCCUCCCAGAGUGCUGGGAUUAUAGGCCUGCACCACCACACUUGGCAUCUUCCUUUCAAACCAUCUCUCUCUGUAUUGGUUUGUUAUGUCUGCUGUUCUGUCAGUGUCUCAGAGAGGUGUCUUAAAAUCCCCACAGAUGAGGGUGGCAUUCUAGAUUUAUUUUUUAAUUUAAAAAAUAUAUUUCUUUCUUUAUUUAUUUGAGACAGGAUGUCACUGUGUAGUCCAGGCUGGGCUUGAACUCACAGUGAUCCUCCUGCCUCAGCCUCCUGAGUGCUAGGAAUACAGGCGUGAGCCACCAUGCCCGGCUAGAUUCUUCUUUUAGUUCUGUCGGUUUUUGCUACAUGUAUCAAAGCUGGUCCCAUACAUAUUUAGGAUUUUUUAUUUCUUUUUGAGAAAUGGAUGUUCUCAUUAUGAAAUGUCUCUCUUUAGUCUCUGUUAAUAGUCUUUGUCCUAAGUAUUCUUUAUCUGAUGUUAAUAGCCACACUUACAUUCUUGGGGUUCAGCUUUGUGUGGCCCCCUCCCCUCAUUUUUUACUUUCUUCUGGUUGGCCUCCAUACACUUCAUGAAUAGCACGUAGCUGAGUCUUGCACCCAAAAUACUCCCUGAUUUUUAUGUGGAUUGCUUAUCCCACUUGAUUUCAAUGCAGUUGCUGAUGUGGUUGGUUUUAAAUCUGCCAUUUUCCUCUGUGUCUUCUAUUUGUGCUAUCUGUUCUUCAUUCCUUUUCUUUCCUAUUUUGGAUUAAGUAUGUUUCAGAGUUACUUUUCUCCCUCUCUCUCUCUCUCUCUCUCUCUCUCUCUCUCUCCACCCCCACUGAGCUACAGCAUGGCCCAUUUUUAAAUUUUUUUAUUUUGAAACAUAUUUUCUCUACUCUGCUCAGACUGACCUCAAACUUGUGAUACUCCAGCCUCAGACUCCUGAAUACCUGAGAUUACAGGCAUAUGCCACCAUGGCCAACUAUUUCUUGGAUUUAAAAUAUAUAGAGAGAGACUUUAUUUUUCAGAGUAGUUCUAGGCUCUUAGCAAUAUUGAGUAGAGAGUACAGAGACUGCCUGUGUGCACUCUGCCUCCAACACAUGCACGACCUCCUCCAUUGUUGACAUCCCAUAUGGCAGGGGCUAGCCAUCUACUGGAGAGACUGAGGCAGAGGGACACAUGAGCCCAGGGAUUUGAGGCCAUUUUGGCAACAGAAUGAGACCUAGUCUUAAAAAAAAUUCUAUUCAUAGGGCCGGGGAUUUAGCCCAGUGGUUCCGGUGCCUGCCCUGCAAGCGCAAGGUCCCGAGUUGGAUCCCCAGUACCAAAAAAAAAAAAUUCUAUUCAUACAACAAUGAUACAUUUACCACAAUCAAUGAACCUACAUCGAUACAUUAUUACAUCUCUUGGCUUUUGGUGUUUGUUUAGUCUGCUCUAGAGAUUCCAAUAUUCAAUCUUAGCUAAUCAUAUUCCACCUUGAAUUACUUGUAUACACCUUUCCUUCUGUUGUGGCUUGUAUCUAGAAGUUUCCCAAAGUAUCACAUGGUCACGGGUGGGGCUUUUUGGAAGUGGCUGGAUUAGGGUGUGUGAAUGUGAAUUAAGGAUGUGUGGUAACUAAAUUGGUUUAGCAUAGUUCUGGGUGUGGGUAAUGGAAGCCACACAGUUCUGGGUGUGAGUAACACUAUUCAAUAGGCUUGCAGGCUGCAUGGAAUAUAAAGGGACAGAUGGAAGGCAGGCUGCUGCUGCUGCUCACUGCCUUCUGCCUGCCUGCCUGCCUGCCAUAGACUGUUUCUCCUCUUCCAUGCCUCUCUGCCAUGCUGCCCUGCCUUGGGAGGACUUUGUGGACUUAAACAUCUAAAAACUGUGAGCUAAAUAAACCCUCCUGCCUUAACUUGUGGGUGUUGGGUAUUAUGUCUCAGCAGCAAGAAAAGUAAUAAGGUAUCUUCUUUUUGUGAUAUUGUCAGAUAUUAUAUUUUUACCUUUUAAAUAAACAUUAUCAUAUGUUAUUAUUUUUCCUUUAACUAGUAAAUAGUCUUUUAAAUAAAUUUUUGCAAGUACGCACAUUCCUGGUACUCUUUAUUCCUGGCUCCAGAUCUAGGAUUCCCUUGGGCUACUCCUCUUGAGCCUGAAAAAUGUCCUUCUGUACUUGUUGUAGAGAAGUCAUGCUGGCAAAAAAUAUCACCAUUUUUGUUUUCCUGAUUAUCCUUUUAUUUUACCUGUAGUCUGCAAAGAAUUUUCAUUGGACAAAUUAUUCUACGUUGGCAGUUUUUCUUUCAGCACUAAAAAAUGUCAUUCUCUUAUUUUUUGGUUUCCAGCAUGUCGAUCAGAAGUCUCCAGAAUUAUUAUUAUUAUUAUUUAUUUAUUUAUUUAUUUAUUUUGGUACCGGGCAUUGAACUCAGGUCCUUGCGCUUGCACAGCUGGCGACAAAACCAAUGAGCUAAAUCCCCGGGAGAAGUCUCCAGAAUUCUUGUUUUUGUUCUUUUGAAUGUGAUGCAUCCUUUUUGCCUCUGGCUGAUCUUUAAGAAUGUCCACUUUCUCUGUGGUUUUUAGCAGUUUGCCAUAAUGGUCCAGGGAUGUCAUUUUUGUGCAUGUCCUGUUUGGCACAUGGUAUACUUCUUGAAUCUGGGGGUUGAUAUCUUUAAUCCAUUUUGGAAAAUGGCCAUUAUCUCUUCUGCUAUGUUCCUUGUCCUAUUCUCAUUCUGUAACCCCAAAUAAAAGUAUAUUGACCCACUUAAUAUUGUUCAAUGGAUCCUGAAUACUUUGUUGCAUCUUAUUUGAUUCUCUUUCCUUUGUAUGCUUCUGCUUGGGUAAUUUCUAUUGCCCUGUCUUUGCACUCACAGAUCCUUUCUUCUACCAUGUUUGAUAUGAUAUUAAGCACUUCCAAGAAUUCUUCAUUUCAGAGAUGUACAUUCCAGUUCUAGAAUGUUUUCAGUUCUAUGAUGAAUUUCUGUUUACAUGUUUGUCCACCCUUCCCACUAAAUCCUUUAGCAUAAUAUAUUUUAAAGACUUUAUCUGCUAAUCCUCACAACUGGAUUAUAUGGAAAUUGCUGCCAUUGACUGUUUUCCUCUCUUGUCUAUAGGUCACAUUUCUGUAUAUGUCUGUGACUGUGUUAUUAUCCGCUAGACAUCUUGAACAUUGUAGAGACUACUCUGGAUUAUGAUAUGGUCCCCUAAAGAGUGUUGAACCUUUCAUUUUUCUGCCAGACAGUUAAAUAACUGGUAGAUUAUCUUCAUUUUAAGGAUCAAUUUUAGAUUUUGUUAGAGUAGAUUUAUCUCAGUUUUACCCAUUGUCUAGAAUGAAGCCCUCACUUCUUGGGUACAGUCCUUACUUCUGAAUCCUUUCUUGAUUUCUCUGUGGUUCCCUGUUUUUGUUGCCUGUGCCACAAAUUCUAGCUGACUUGGCAGCCGCAUCUUCUGAACUCUUUCUCCACCUGUGAGACUACAGCUUUCUGCUUGGACUCCUCUUCCUGUGCCACAGUCUGGAUGUCAUCCCCAGGCGGAAAGCCACGGCAAGUGCAGAGCUCAGCACUAGGGUGCUUCUCUUCUUAAACAUCAGCACCUCACAUGGUUAUUUUGCAAAUUUUGCCUGCUUUUUUUUUUAACAGCACUAAAGUUUAUUUGAAAAAAUGAAGAGUGAGGGAGAAAUGCUCUGCAGGGUGAGCUUAGGCCAAGUAAAAGAGGAAAAAGCAAGAUAAAAGUACACCAUGGAGAAAGCAGGGCAGGCUAUCAUGAGGAAAGCCACAAUAGCCCCCACUUUUGUAAUUGUUUUAUGACAGGCAGAUAAGUCCAGUACCAGCUACUCUACUAUGAAGAGAACAAGAAAUUUCUUCUCUUUUCCUCUGUUGUUUUCCAGUUAAGCUUUUAUCCUCAUAACACCACCCUGUCCUCUGUCAUCAGUGACCAAGCUCUGGUUCUCAUUAGAAGACCUCAUCUCACCUGAUUUUCCUCCCACUUCCUUCACUUCAGUGCCUCUUUAGCCCCCACCGUCUUCACCUAUAGUGGUCGGGGAGCCCCAGAGUUCUCCAGCAGACCCCUCGCUGGUUAGCCACAGUCCCACGGCCUCAAAGAUUUUUUUCUCCCUGAUUUCCAAAAGCUGUCUCAGCCAGCUCUCUGCCCUGAAAUACACACUCGGGCUCCAAUUGCUAUCUAACAUCUCCGCUCGAAGUAAAGCAUCCCAAACUUACCACACCCCAAACCAAAUGGUUUUUCCUUCACAUGCGGCCUCUCCCUCAGCCUUGCCUGCUCUCCCAGCCCAGAAGGUGUGGCAUCAUCCUGGAAAUUCCUUUUACUCCAACCUCGCAUCCAAUCCAUUGGGAAAUUGUGUUGGCUCAAGCUUAGGAAGCCACCCACUAGCUCUGCUGCCCCGGUCACUGCGGCCACUUCCCUCCUGGUUUCUUUGCUUCUGCCUUUGACCCUUGCAUCUCUCAGGGCCACAGCAGGACACAGAGGAGCUGUGUCCUGGCCCAGAACAUGGGACUUCGCACUGGAUCCAAAGGGGUGGAUUACAAGGGUCAAGGACAUCAACAAGAGGUGGCGAAGCACCCGCUGGAGUUCGUCCCCAGGGCAGGUGGCAGUGACAGCUGCUGGAAAGGACCAUCUCAUGGAAGCCAGGCUUUGGUAGAAAAAGUCAGCUGCUGCCUAACUUCAGCCUGGGGAAGUGGGGAGAGGCUGCUUCCUACUGGCAGAGCUGAACUGGGACCCAGGGCUGGGGAGCCCACAGCUGCCAUUCUGGAGGUUCCCCCUGGCUGUGGCUGCCACAAAUGGAGGAGACCAGCAUCCCAGGGCAGAGCGAAGAGCAGAGCGGGGAAGGGGAAAGAACCCACAGGCAAGUGGACAACAUCUCAAGCCCUACAAGUAGUGGUGACAGCUCAGUCCACUCACCUCAUACAUCUGUGACAUGGGGUGACAGUCAUACUAGGUCCACUGGGUCACUGAGAGAAUUAAUUGCAAUUAGGUGCUCAGGACCAUGUGUGGCAGUAUCAUGAGUUCCUGAGCGAUGGCAACGCUGAUCAUUUCUACCUAAUAUUUGAAAUGAAUGCACAAUCAUGUCAUCAUUUCUUCUCCAAAGCCUUGUUAUAAAGGCCUUCGUGGCAGGGGGUGGUUAGAGAACAGAUAGACCACGGAGGAUAUGUAUUGCAGGAUAAACCAUGGCGUGUACAGUCUCCUCACCUCCACCCCAACCCAGAGGCCUCUGACUCAUGUGCCCACCCAGUAGAGAGCCCAGCAGCAGGGAGAGCUGGUCCCAUGAUCACUGUGGCAGCAGGUGUCCCCUUGGCCCAGAGGGACCCAGGCUCACACUGAGUCCGGGAUGGCACCUGACUUGCUCCUGGGGAGGGCAGAGGCUGCUCUGUGCCAGUCUGGCCAAAGCCAGCAGACAUCGCAGCACUGCCCACCCAAGUCCCUGGGACAUCAUCAUCCAGCCCUGGGGCGAAGCCACGUGCAGAGGCCACAUAGACAGAGAGAGGCCCUCGGGCUUAUGGAGAGGGACAAAGAGACUCAGUCAACCCAGCAAGUGGACCAGCGAGUCCACCCUCUCUGUUCCUGAAAAGGCACCAAGUGUGUGUGCCUGAGCUGGAGAGCCCCAGCUGAUUACCAUACCUGAGCUCUGGCACCUGCAGAUCCCAAAGAGAGAAUCAGAUGUUUUAAGCUGUGAGCUUCUGGAGUGACUGGUGCAGAGGCUCAGAUACCCCGACAGCUGGCCAGGGCCAGAGCCCAGGUGCAGAGGCUGGAGCUGGGCCUCUGCCACUGUGGAUGCCCCAGCCCCUCCCACAGGGAAACCGAAAUGUUGCAGCCAGAUGCGCAGCGAGGGAGACUCACCGCUGGCUUCUCGGAGCCUGGAUCCUGCCCCCUUGGCUGGAGGCUGCGCUUGCUGGCCAGUCUCCAUUCCUCUUUUUGAUUGGCACUUUAAUGAGGGCAGGAGGGGUGACCCCCUGCCAGGGGGCCAGUUCAUGCCCCGUUUAUCUCACAGCCCGAGUCAGACUAAAACAACACUGCAGGCAGAGUGGCCGGGAGCUGGGGGGCCCAGAGCCCCUACCCGAGGUGAUGGAUUGAGUGACCACCGAGAGUUGGCAGCUGAAGUGUGUGGUGGCUGCACGAAUCUGUCAGCAUGCAACAAAGCAGUCGGGCUGCAGCCCCUGGCUAAACUGCUCGGCUCCCCAGGGGUCCCCAGGGCCGCCCCCUUCCUUGGCCUCCCCCAGCACUGGGCCACGGUUCAGAGACAGGCUGGGGAUGAGCCAGGCAGUGGGACCUGUUCUGGGGUCCUGGGGGGCCACGCAGAGAGGUCGGGAGCUCUGCACUUCUCCGGCUCCCAGGGCCGGGGCCUUCUCUGUGCAGUGGCCCGGCAGAGCACAGCAAUCUGGAGGGUCCCAGCCAAGCUUUGACUUGCUGUGCACCCUUGAGUGAGUCUGUCAACCUUUCUGACCCUUUGAGUCCUCAUCUAUAAGAGGUUCAUUUUAAGCAGGGUGUAGUGGCAGACACCUGUAAUCCUAGCAUUCUGGGAGGCUGAGGCAGGAGGACCACAAAUAAAUCCUGCUGGGGGCAAUUUGUUGAGACUCAAAAAUAAAACACAGCCUGGGGAUGUAGCUCAGUGUGAAGCCCUGAGUUCGAUACUCAGUACAGAGAGAGAGAGAGAGAGAGAGAGAGAUUAUCUUCCUUCUGUCUCCAUGGCCGUGUUCUUGUGAGGACAGAGUGAGACCCGCUGAUAAAAGUGCCUCUAUCAGGGCCAGGGAUGUAGAUUGGUGGCUGCACCUGCCUCACAUGCUCAAGGUCCUGAGUUCGAUCCCCCAUACCACACACACAAAAAAGCUCCUUUAUCAGAAUGCAGGUUUGCACAAGCCAGGCCUCAGUUUACCUGACCAUCUCCCAUCUCCCUAGUACCCCAUGCCUGUGUUGACUUGGAGGAGCAACUGGUGGCCAAGCCCCACUGCUCAGCACCAGGAGCUGUCACCAGAUGCCACAGCACUGGUGCCAUGCCCUGGAGCUUUGGGGGGGACCCCAUUUGACAUAUGGAGAAACUGAGGCUCAGAGGGAUGAAUCUUCCCAGAUUCCGCAGAGAAUAGAAACAAAGCAGGGAUCCCGGCAGGCAGCUGAGCCUGAAUCCCCAUGGCCCUUGCCAGAGCACUGGGUUAUGAGCUGGAAUCUCCCUCCAGGUCUGUGGGAGCCGGACAGCCCAGCAGCCCCACAGGCAAAGAGCCCCCGUGGCUCAUACCGGCGGCCAUUCUCCUGGCUCCCCCUGUGCCUUGGAGUGAACUUGAACUUGGACCAUUCCCUGCACCUCACAGGAAGCAGGGGGCCCCAGGGAAAAGCAGCCAGCUCCAGCUCCAUGGAGCCUUUAGGUCUGGGGUCCCACACCAGGGACCAGCUGGUCAUGGAAACCCUGCUGUUUGGUCCCCACAGCUGGGCAGGGGUCACACAAAGUAGGACAAAUGGCUCCUUGGCUCCGGCUCCAAGAGCCUUCUGGGGCCAGGCCUCCGGGGAUGGGAGGGGAGGGAGGCUUCACCUCCCCGUGAACUCCCGCAGGGCAGGAGGCCAGGCCCGGCCUGGGUCAGAGAAAGUAGCAGUACCUCGGUGGGGCUCCACGGGCGUCUGCCCUGGGCUCCCCAGACCAGAGGGGACCUGAGCGGCUAGGGCACCUGAGCGGCUAGGGCACUGGCAGAUCCGGCCACCAAGCAUGGAUUGAACCCCAAACUCUGAUCCACCAGACUAGGCAAGACCCAGUUUUGCCCCAGAGUACAGUGCCCUGGACCCUGCUCUCAGUGGCCUAGUAUGUGCUGUUCCCUGUAUCUCAAAAGGUCUUUUCCGGCCAGCACAGUGACUGUAAUCCCAGAGCUUGGGAGGCUGAAGCAAGAUGACAAGCUGGAGCUCAGCCUGGGAAAAUUAUCAAGACCCUGUCUCAGAAUAAAAACUAAAAAGGGCUGGGCAUGUAGUUUAGUGGGAAAACCCUGGCUUCAAUCUCCAGAACUACCCCUCAAAAAAUCCUUCUUUGCAUAGUUAACUCCAAAUCAGCCUUCAGUGCCGUCCUUGAACGUCACUUCCUCAAGGACACUGUCCCUGGCUGACACCUGCCCCAGAGGACCCCUGGUCACAGUAAGAUAAACAGCUGAGUAGGUCAUGCAUGUGAGUGCCAGGCUCACAUGUCUGUGACCGGUGGGGAACCCUGGGGGCUCACAUGUGUGCCCAUCAGACAGUGUGGCACAUGCGAGGGAAGUCCUCGUGGCCUGGACACCUAUGGCGGGCAUGCACCUCCCUGCACCCAGCACAGACUGCACCAGUCAGGGACACAUCUGUCUUGUUUGCUCCGUAUCCCCAGACUCAGUCUAUACCUAUGCAGCUCUUGUGGGGUAUUUGAAGAAUGCAUUUACUACAAGACAACAAAAAAGUAAAAACAAUUAUUGCCACCACCAAAUCGAGAAAACUGACCCCACAUGAAGUACAAGGCAAGAGUCCCUCUGAGCUGGGCGUGGUGGUGCACAGCUAUAUAGUCCCAGCACUCUGGGAGGCUGAGGCAGGAGGAGCACAAGUUCAAACCCAGCCUGGGCAACUUGGUAGCUUAGUGAGACCCUGUCUCAAAAUAAAAAAAGGCUGGGGCUGUAGAACAGUGUGAAUAUCCUGAGUUCAAACCCCAGCAAAAAAAAAAAAAAAAAAAAGCAAUGCUGUGACUGAGGAGGUUCUGGUUCUUUUUGUCUCAGAAGAAUUAUUCCAUGUGCGUCAGUGAACCCAGUUCAGAAACCACGACAUGAGGGAACGCCGACCCAGCCCAGGACAAAUUAAUUACAUUACUCAAAUGGGUCACUGCCCAGACCUGGGUGCUGGGUCUGGAACGGAUGGGGAUUGGUGUGAGGCACGCGCAUUCAAGCAUGUGUGUGUGUGCGCAUGCACACAUGUGUGACUCUCACGCAGCUCAGGACUUCUCAGGAGGAGGAAGAGAUUUCAAAAGCCACAAACUUUACAAGAUGGUGAGUUUCAUGAAUAAAAUAAAAUGUUAGAAAGUGGGAGGCUAACGAAAAAUCGCUACACGGCAUGAAGAGCCCAGUGAAUGAAACAAGAAAAAAAAAAUCAAGGCUCUAAUAUAUGUGAAUAAGGGACACAAAAGGAUUAUGUACAUUUAAAGAAAUUAGAGUUGGGCAGUUGGCAUUUGCGGAAUGCUGGUCUGUGUUAGACACUGAAUUAAGAAUUUGACAUCUCUGCCUGGGAUUUAGCUCAGUGGCGCUGCACCUGCCUUGAAAGUGCAAGGUCCUGAGUUCGAUCCCCAGUUUAAAAAAAUAAAAGAAAGGAUUUAACUCAUUUACUUAUGGAAGUACAAGACAAUCCAGCCAAUAAAUGUGAAGUCUGUUGUCUGUCCUAUGUUCCUACCUUUUCUCUAUUAUCUGUGAAAGUCUAUAAUGCUUUAGUUUGUUCCAAGAAAACUCUUACAUUCCUGCCAUAGUUAAAUCUCUCCAGCCAAGCAGGUUCUGCAGAUAUAAUCCAUGCAUACAGGUGUUAGAGGCCAGAAAAACUAUUUACGGAUCUGCUAUCCUGACAGUUGGGUCUGGGAUACAAUUCGGUUAUUUUUGAGUUGCCUGGGUUCUGCAAAUAAUGUAAUUAUUAUUGUUUAUUCAAAAUACUCCCAUAAUACUGCUUUAGGGUAGUUCUAAGAGAUACUGGAAAUCUGAAAAUUCACUGCAAGCUCUGGGGCCAAAGUCCAUGUUUGAUUUUGGUACUGCAUAUGCCUAAAGAUCUUGCAAAAACGCAAACAAAAAUUAAAUCAUUAGCUGCCUUGGAAAAAAAUGUACACUCUAACCCACUAGGGAGAUGGGUUUAUCUGCAGUUUCUAUGUGCCAGUCGGGCUCUGGGGUUAGUUACCUUGCCAAGUUCACACGCCCAGAGCUGUUAUUUUGGGAAACGUUUAUUCUCGCUAAGAGUCAAAAUGCAGAUUAACACAACACUGAAGGACUAUCUCGUAUUUACUAAGUUAGCAAAGAGAUGUUCUGAAGGCCACACCAAGCACUGGCAAGUACAGAGUCACAUAUUCACUGUGAGCCAAGGGCGCUGUAGGAGGCUUUCAAAAAGAAAUGGAGCAGAGGCUGGGGGUAGAGCUCAGCAGGGGACUGCCAGCCUCGCAUGUGCAGAGGUCUGGAUUCCACGUCCAGCCACAUACACACACACGUACACUUGGAAAGGGAAGGAAAAGGAAAGAAAGAAAUGCAACAACAUUUCAUAGAAACAAUUCAUAAAGCAAUUCAUGUUCUGGCCCUGUAUUGGAAUUCAUGCCCAAGAAAAGGUUUAAAAGAUGGAAAAAGCCAGAGCUGCUAAAAUAGACAUGGGAGCUGGGUGAGGGGGCACUCUGGGAGGCUGAGACAGGAGGAUCACAAGUGCAAGCUCAGCUGGAGUAAUUAGCAACUUAUCGAGACCCUGUCACAAAAUAAAAAGUAAACAAGGGCUGGGGAUGUAGCUCAGUGCAAAAGCCCUCCUGGGCUCAGUCCCCAGUACCAUAAAGAAACAAACAACCACAGGUACAUUAUUAUCAAUGGCAAAAGCAAACAACUAUGACGACAAAAACCAACCUGGAAGCAACCCAAACAUCUGUCAGGAAAAGAGCUUUUCCAAAAUACGGUAAAAACCACACAAAGUAGUAUGAAGCCAUCAAACUGAUCUUCAAAAGAAGUUUGAAGCUUCAGUAUCGUGAAAAUACUGAAAACAUCUAUAGCGUUACGUGAAAAUCUAAAUUGCAAAGAUAAGUAAAACCAACUGCGGCCCUGCUGUCCAGAGUGGCCUGCUGAGCGGGGUGUCGGGGUCACAGGUCGCAGGCACCGAGGGAAGUACUGCUUCCCCGGGGACCAUGAUGACCCAGCAUUUCUUUUUUUUUCAUUUUUCUUCCUUGUCAUGACAGCAUCUUUCCAUAAUGCUGGAUACGCAUUUGAAUACAAUGAGCCCGUGGAUGGACCCUGUGCUCCGGGAAGCCCCUGGCCCAGGAAUUGUGGGAAAGACAGAAAGUAGGAAGGUCACGGUCCCUGGGGGAAAUCCCGCCGCUGGCCGAGCUCAGUCCCAGAGAGAGAACCUGUCUCCCGGGGGAGGAGAGCGCAGGGCUACAGCGACCCAUUGUUAGAGUACUCAGCUCUCUCAGAAGGGUCACGUGAGUGAGUUUGACAUGGGGUCACUUUUUCCCAUCCUACUUUCAUUCAUCCAUUCUGUGCCUCUGCUGGGAGCACUGGGCUGGUUGGGGACCCGCCUCGCUAUGUACUUCAGGCUGGCCUUGAACUUCUGGCGAUCCUCCUGCCUCGGCCUCCUGAGUGCUGGGAUUCCAGGUGUGUGCCACUCUACCCAGUCUCAUCAUGGGUGUGAUGGUGCACACCUAUAAUCCCAGCACUUCAGAGGCUGAGGCAGGAGGACUGCUGUGAAGUCGAGGCCAGCCUGGGCUACAUAGUGAGAUCCUGUCUCAAAAAACCAAAACAAAUAAAUAGCUAGAUAGACAGUGAAAAUGUCUGUCUGUCUGUCUGUCUGUCAUCUAUCUAUCUAUCAUCUAUCAUAUCGGUGUUUGACACUGGGGAUUGAACCCAGGGCCUCCCAUAUGCUAGGCAAGUGCCCUACCACUGAGCUACCCCCUAGGCUUUUUUAUUUUUUAUUUUGAGACAGAGUCUUGCUAUGUUGCCCAUGCUGGCCUCAAACUUGUGAUCCUCCUGCCUCAGCCUCUCAGGCAGCUGAAGACCACAGUGCCUUACAUACUCUAACCAGAAAACAGAGCUAUGUUCAUGUUAGGAAACAAAAGAACAACGAGGGUUUAUGGAUCCUUGGGAAGACUGUCCAGAAUCUGGGGUCUCUUUGUGGGAGAGUUACAUUCCCUUCCUUCUCUAUCCUGGACCGAGUUCCCUGGCCACAUCCUGUGACUCUCAGGUGAGCACCACAGGUCCAUCCAGGAACACGACUCAAGCGCUCAAGAUCCGGACACUAUUUGACCGCAAAUGCUUAAAGGGAAGAUGGCUCCAGGCGCCCUGAAGAAGGGUGACUUCUCAGAGUCCAUGGUCACAGGAACAGGGACACUGGGGGAAAAGGCUGCAGGAUGGUCCUUGUCUCUCUUCCUACUGAGACCUCAGGCCCUCCAGCUCCGCACGAUUCCCCAGGGCGGAGGAAAUUAGACUGAGUUGGGGCCCAAAGCUUGCAGCUUCAUCUCCUCAUGGAUUGUCGCUGUGCUCCGAUGCCUGUGACAGCAGGAAGGAGCCUAAUGCUCCCACGCUGCCUGCGCCAAGUCUCAAGUCCUCCUCCUCCAGCUGUUCUCUGGUCCUGGGGAGGUCACGAUCGAGCCCCCAUUACGCAGAAGCCCAAACUGAGACUCUGAAGUCACGUGCCCAGGUCACCGGGAUGUCAAGUGACAGAACCACGGUUCACCCUGACCUCCGCCUCCUGGGCACACAACACAUCUGAGGGCCGAGGGCCUCUCUGAGCUCACAACCCCUCCUGGCCCCUGCUCACUUUGUGGCCUGUAACACAGCCCCAGCCCUGUGCCUCUGACUCUGCCCAGCUCUGCCCUCCUCCCACGAGCCCCCCCACCUUCUCAUUAGACCUUAGAUCAAAGGCUGCCUCCCCUGAGAGGCCUUUGGGGCAACAGCAGCCAGAGCCCUGCUCUGACGACUCCAUGAUGUCUCUGCCACCUCCAUAAGCCCUGGUGCCUAGGCUGGCUCCUCCACUCUGUGUUCCCAGAUUGGGCAUAGUGCUCAGCUGCUGCAACACUCAGUCCCUACUUGCCUGUGGAGAGAAUGAGCACCAGGCCACCCACUUCCGGUGCCCUCCAUACCCUGUCUGGGUCCUGCCCCUUACCCUAGUAUGGCUCAGCUGUGCCUUUGGGUCACACAUCUUUUCAGAGCAGCAGCAGGCUGGGCAGCCAUGGGUAGACCAGAUGGCUACAGGAGGAUGGCUAUGGCUGGGCCCAGAGACCUCCAGCUCUUCUGCAGAUCCUCCUGCCUUCUCGGGGACCCCCGACCCUCAUGCCCUUUUCCAGCCUCUCCUCUUGCUCCCUAAAGAUACCCCAAGGUGACUCAGGCUGGGCACAAAUGGAGGAGGAGAUGGCCAGGGUCAUGCUAAGGACCCACCCCAAACCUCCAGGGCCAAUGCCAAGUAGGAUAAUUCAGGCCUCCUACAAGGGUCCCCUGUCCCUCACAAGGGUGCAGACCGGGGUUUGGCAGACCUGUGUGACCUUUCCAGUGAAGCGUCAUGUGGGGGAGUGAGACGGGGACCCAGAUUCUGCCGGGUGUGACCUUUGUGUGGGCCCAAACCUGCAUCUCUGAGUGGGGUGAUGGCAAGGCCUGGGCCUGUCCUGGGCCCUGCGCCCUCGGACUCCCACCUGGGCUGCAGUGGCAGGGCCUGCGGGAGGAGGCAGGUGACAAUCCCUCGGGAGGUGACAAUCCCUCGGGAGGUGACAGCUGUGGGGUGGGAGCCGCCGCCACCACCUGAGAGUGGGUGAGGAGCAGGUUAGCUGGGUGAAAAGUUCACCACGAGGGGAGCUGUCUGUUUCCCUUGCUUAAUUUAGCCACUAUUUGGCUAACCUUGCUCUGAACCCAGGCCUGAGACCCCUCUCCGUGCUCCCCCGCCUCCCCACCGGGCUUCCGAGCCGCCACUGGCCCUCCCGCCGCCCUCGCUGCUGGGCAGGGGACACGCUGGCCUUGAAGAGGCCCGGGAGAGAGGCCGGCUGCCCGGCCAGGUGGUUAUUUAGGAGCUGAGCCUUCUUCCAUUCUCAGUAACCGAGAUAAAGUCCGGCUGCCGGCGAGGUCCAGGCCUCAAGGGCCUCAGAAGGAGCCCCACCUGGCGCUGCCUUCGCCAAAUACACAGCUGCGCUGGAGACGGUGACCUUUCCUUCAGAAGGCCUCUGUCAUCCGGCCUCAGGCAGGACCUGGACAUAUGGCCCAUCUGCCUCAGGGGAAGGCCGGCCUCCUCCUCUGGCCCCGGGAUGGCCUCAGGGGCGUCCACCCAUCCUUGACCGCUCAGGUUGGCUCUGUGGACUCCUCCUCAGCACUGUCGUCCUUUUUCUGAUGGCGCGGGCAUCAGUGACCGACCGCUGUACUGCAGGCUGCUCAAGUCCCUGGCACAUGUGACUUCCUAUCAUGGUGGAGGAGGCUGGCUGGGGACUGAGUCUCCCUCCUUCAGCCUCCAAGCUGUUGGUGACAGGGCAACCCAGGGCACUUUGACCCUGAAGCCGGCGCUCUGUGUGACCGAACUCACUUACCUCGUCUCAUUUUUUAGGCUUUCACUGAAACCCUUUGGGCAACCCUAAAAGUCACACGUGUCCCCAGCAACCAGGGAAACACGAAGACGCAUAAAGGAUGAGUCACCCUGUCCUGGGCCGGCGCUCACCCCUGCUUAUUCCACAGGACCUUCCUCUACUGUCUCCAAAUUUUAAAAUUCACAAAAACAAGGGGCACUUGGGCUCCUGUGUAGACUGGGAAUGGCUUGUUUUGACAAUGACAGGGACCUGGCAUGUGUAUCCCUCUGCUCUUUUCGGCUAGCAACGCAGCCUGUGGCAGUCCUAGGUCAGAGGCCUUCAAGUGUUCGUGCUCACAGCUGCACAAUAGUCCUCCUUCGGAUGGACACGGUUGUUUCCCUUGCUUCCUUUUGCAGUGAGGUAGGACAGACAGACAGGCCCAAGGGCACAGUGUAGUCAGUGUCGCAUGUGUAGACGCCUGUGUAGCACCCAGGAUUCCAGCACUGAAUGUUUCCAGCCUCUAAAGACUGGUGCACACUCCUAUAAUCCCAGAACUCUGGGGACUGAAGCAGGAGACUGAAAGUUUGAGUCCAGCCUAGGGAACAGGGUGACUUUAAGAAACUCUGUCUCAAAAUAAAAAGAAUAAUAAGGGCUGGGCAUGUUGCUUAGUAUAAAGGCCCUAGGUUCAAUCCUUCGUAUCCAAAAACAAAACAAAAGAAAGAUUCCCUCCCUGUCCCCAGCCACAUCGGCCCCAAAGAUAAUCACUAGGGUUACCUCUCUCUCCACAGAGCUAUUGUGCCUUUUUGUGCCUGGCUCCUUUGCUCAGUGUAGUGUUUGAAGAUUUCUCCAUGUUGUUGCACAAGGGGGGGAAAAAUCCCUUCAUUUUCAGUGCUGUAUAGUGUUUCAGUGUAUGCAUGUUUACCAUAAUCGAUCCAUACUACAGUUGAUAGAAAUGUGCAUGGCUUCUGGUUUUCCCAGCACACACGGAUGACAGGGCAAUAGACAUUUUGAGGCUACCCCUGCAGGCUCCCAUUCUUCUUUUUGAAGGAAGGACUCCAUCUCUCCAUUUGCUGAUGAGAAUAAAAGGUUUCUUUUCAUACUUGUCCAGGGAGAUGGUUGUUUCUUCCAUUCCGGAGAAUCAUUCAGCAAAAUCUCUGGAGCCUUCAUUGGCUGGACCAGGCCAGAAGGAGCUGCCCAGGCCCUGGUGAGGAGUACUAAAUUUUAUUCUGCAGGCAGCAGAGAGCCACUGCAGGCUCUAAGCUGGGUGUGGCACGUUCAGGUCUGUGAUCUGGGAAGAGUUCCUGGCUGUGUAGUGGGGCCUCGGAGGGCAGGACACCGCCUCAGAGAUUAUCCUGAAGUCCAGCUGUGGCCCCAGGGCCUGCUGUCCAGGAGACACAAAGAGGGCCGAGGGGCGGGAACCCGGAUGUGUUGCAGCGUCACAGCACCACAGAGAGGCACCAGUGGGCUCAGCCUCAGCUGCGCUGCCCAAGGCCAGGCUUGCAGCUCCCUUCAAGGUGCACACAGACCCCGGCCUCCUGCCCAGUCCCCGAGCCUGCUUGCCUCCUAAAGAGCAAGAUGUCAGAAGGAAGGCAGCACCGAAGAUGUGCAAAUGAAGGGCGGAGAAAGAGAAAACUCCUGGCCAGGGGAUGGAGAUCUGCGUUGUACCAUGGAUCCAGUUAUACCUGAGACAAGUUACCACUGGGCUUUGCAGUAGAGGCCUCCAGAGUCCACCUGACAUCGACCACCUUGAUCCACCAGGGGUGGUGGAACCCAGCAGCGACAUUGACACGAAGCCACCGGGAAAAGGCCUGGCGGGAGCUGGCUACAAUGUUGAUGAAUUGUGGCAAGAAUUGAAUCCAUUCUCUUUAUAUAGCAGACCUCAGAAGCCACAAACCCAGGCAUUAAAGCCCGGGGUUGUGCCACUGGACUCUAAGGUUCAAAUCCCAGCUCUACCAGUUACCAGCUGUGAACAGGGCCCUGGGAAGGCUCCUAUAUCUGUCUCUGGCUCUGCUUCCCAUAAAAUGUUGGGAGAUUUUCAGCACUAAAUGCAUAUAACUUAGCAAGGACAGAGUGAUUUCUGAUUUUAUUAUAACAAAUAUAAAUUUAUGACUUGGUAUUUAUUGGUACCAAGCACACAUACAUUAAUUUAUUAUGUGUAUUACACCCCCGAUUUUCACAAGCAACUCUGUAUAGAGAGAAGAACUCUCGGUCACAUCCUACAGAUGAGGAAACUGAGGCCCAGGGAGGCUAAGUCCAGGUUAAGGUUAAGCUCAAGUUCCCAUGGAGUCAGGACUGGGAAUCUCAGCCGGAUGUGACUGGCUCCAAACGUCAUUCUCUUUGUGCUGCACUGGCCAGAUUGGCUUCUCUCAGCUCCCCAGCCAGUGUGGACCGGAAGCGAGUUCAGCUGGGCACGGCUGAGGAGGGUGGGUUGGGCUGGAACCCCGCCCGCCCAUCCACCCCAGCCACGAGGACUCCAUCGGGCAACUGGGGUGGGUUAGCCUGGUCUUAUACUCAGCAUGCCAGGGCUGUAGAAGUUCACGUGCCCACAACCAUGUGACCUUCCCAGGCAAGCGGGAUCCAGUUACAUCGCAGCAGUGGCCCCAAGGAACAAACACAGCUUGUGUCUUCCUCCAAGGGCUUAUUUCCUUUGUCUUGUGAGCAUUGAAAAAUGAAAGGAAUGAUAAGGAUUUGAUGGGGGGGUGCCCUGGAAAAUUCUGCAGAACUUGGGUAACUCAUCCAGAGGAAAGCAAGGGGGAGUUUUCCAACCAAAUCCAAAGGCAGAGAAACCCAACACGAAGGCCUGAGCCCUGUGAGGUCUCCUGGAUUCCUAGGUUCUCUUUAGAAGGCACAGAGGCCCCAGGCCUGGGGCGGAAGUCCCAUAACCCAGUACUGCCACCAGGCUCCUGUGGACAGACCACGAAAUCUCUCCAGGGCUCAGCUUCCUUGGCUACUCUGCAUCAGUAAUGCCAACUCCCAGGCUCUGGGUUGUUACAAAGAAAUGAGAAACUGUGUGUAGACAGUGGUUCUGCUGGGGGGAUUAACACCCUUGGGGACAUAUGGCAACGUCUGGAAACUUUUUUAGUUGUCACACUGGGAAAAGCAACUGGUGAGUGAAGACCGAGGACACUGCCACACACCACACAGUGCCCAGGACACCCUGCCAAAGAAUGGCCCUCUCCAAAGACCCAGGGUGCUGUGGCUGAGCAAGUGCUGGUGUAGAGUCUCAAAUGUUUAGUUCACAUGCUGAUGUUGGUUUUACUGUUCCAUUGGCGCGCAUGUGGGAAGGGGGACAGGAGAACAGGGUGGCCCAGGAAGAAGGCAGAGCUUGCAUGCCAGCUGCCCCUGGAGACAGAUCUGCUGUCCUCCUUCAGACAAUGUUCACAACCCCUGCCCUCAGGAAGUGUUUGGUCCAGAAGGAGAGACAGCCAGCAGACGAAGCAAGCACUUAAAGAAUACUGGUUCCAAAUAUCCACCAAGAGUGAUGAACGGAGGAUGGUGAUUCAAAAGGAGUGAGGUUUGGACACAGAGGAGUCUUGACAUUAUGCUGAGUGGGAGAAGCCAUCGCUGUGUGACUGCAUUGUUACCAAAAGAGCAGGCAGAUCCUCAGACUGAAAGUAGCUGGUGGUUCCCUGAGCUGAAAGAGUUGAGGAAAAAGGCAGAGAGACCGCUAGUGGCUAUAGAAUUUCCUUCUGGGCCAAUGAGAAUGGUAGUGCUGGCUGCCCAGCUCAAUAAUAUACUGCAUGCCAUGGGACUGCACGCUUUAAUGUGUGAACUGGGAGCUACAUGAAUGAAAGCUUAAUAAAGCCAUUAUAAAUAACAAUAAUACUGAUGAAUGGCUAUACUGAUGAAUGAAAUAAGCAACCAGCAGGGCCAUUGUGCUCAGGGGGGAUACAGAUGGCAGGUGACAUCUAAGGAAGAGACAGAGACUAAGUUCUGGUGCAGGGGACAACAUGAUGUGCAGAGUCCCCAGGGCAUGAGCCCGAUGUGUGGUCCUACAAGGGAUCAGCUGCAUGCACCGUGGAGUGGGAGCUGCAGAGAAAGGUGCAGAGGGCUGACUGGGCAGUGACCUUAGGGACC
rnacentral:lncRNA from 1 species